rnacentral:rRNA from 1 species
UACGAGGGGGGCAAAUGUUGUUCGGAAUCACUGGGCGUAAAGGGAGCGUAGGCGGGCUUUUAAGUUAGGUGUUUAAUCCCGGGGCCCAACCCCGGUCGUGCACCUAAAACUGGAAGUCUUGAAUAGUGGAGAGGUCAGUGGAAUUGGAGGUGUAGCGGUGGAAUGCGUAGAGAUCUCCAAGAACACCAGUUGCGAAGGCGGCUGACUGGACACAUAUUGACGCUGAGGCUCGAAAGCAUGGGGAGCAAACAGG